rnacentral:rRNA from 1 species
CGUCGGCGACCGGCGCACGGGUGAGUAACACGUAUGCAACCUGCCCUCUUCAGGGGGACAACCUUCCGAAAGGGAGGCUAAUCCCGCGUAUAUCGGUUUCGGGCAUCCGAGAUCGAGGAAAGAUUCAUCGGAAGAGGAUGGGCAUGCGGCGCAUUAGCUAGACGGCGGGGUAACGGCCCACCGUGGCGACGAUGCGUAGGGGUUCUGAGAGGAAGGUCCCCCACACUGGUACUGAGACACGGCCCAAACUCCUACGGGAGGCAGCAG